rnacentral:rRNA from 1 species
GACGAACGCUGGCGGCGUGCUUAACACAUGCAAGUCGAACGGAAAGGCCCUGCUUUUGUGGGGUGCUCGAGUGGCGAACGGGUGAGUAACACGUGAGUAACCUGCCCUUGACUUUGGGAUAACUUCAGGAAACUGGGGCUAAUACAGGAUAGGAGCUCCUGCUGCAUGGUGGGGGUUGGAAAGUUUCGGCGGUUGGGGAUGGACUCGCGGCUUAUCAGCUUGUUGGUGGGGUAGUGGCUUACCAAGGCUUUGACGGGUAGCCGGCCUGAGAGGGUGACCGGCCACAUUGGGACUGAGAUACGGCCCAGACUCCUACGGGAGGCAGCAGUGGGGAAUAUUGCACAAUGGGCGGAAGCCUGAUGCAGCAACGCCGCGGGCGGGAUGACGGCCUUCGGGUUGUAAACCGCUUUCGCCUGUGACGAAGCGUGAGUGACGGUAAUGGGUAAAGAAGCACCGGCUAACUACGUG